CGUAAACAACAGCUUACAUCAGAAGUGAGAUCAGGACUCUACUCUCACUGGCGUGACGUGUUUGAACAUGUUCGAAGUACAGCAAAAAAAACAUGAUGCAGAUCAGAAUACUAGUAGUGGUACGCCACAAGAGCGUGAAUGCAGCAUACGUAAGUCGUGUAAUAACGUCUCUGUUACCUCGAUGGAAGAUCUGAGCCACGAAGAAAUCGUCACAUCUUACGUUCUGGCUCAUGUUGCCCAGUUUGACUGUCGACGUCAUCACAUGGCGUUUACUAACGGAAAUACAACACGUAACAAGCUAUUGCAAGAAAUUAAGGCAAGUGCAAAUCUCAAGUGAAACUUCGAUCGCAAUAAUGGAUCUGUCAUGACGAGUGGGUAGUUCCGACACGAAUCGUUUUUAAGCCAAUGACUACUACUAGAGUUAUAUGGCACUAGUACAGUAAACCAGGACAUGAGACUGUGAAUUGUCGCUGAAAUUUUAGAAUCUACUCGAUUCAAUACCAAUAACACUACACGUUCGAUGACUUCGGGCUCCAGCAAGCAAGCAAACAAGAAAGCAAGUUUCCGUGGGGAAGAAAAAUUGACACAUCUGAAGUCGUCGUGACCUGUAAGAUAAGACGUCCGGUGCGUUCGUGUCUGGCGAUGCGGCGGUGUUCGGGUUCCGCUGGCGGAUGCAGGUUUUUCCGGUGAAGUGCGUGCUUGUGCGUGCUUGACAAGUGUUCGCGUUUGGCUUCCUCAGUGUGGGAGUAACAUCGUGUAAGAGAGGUGGAACCCGUAAAAUUGUAGUUUGCGUGGUGGCUGGUAAGAUUUGUUGCGGUAAGAAGUUUGCAUGGUGGUAAAAUGUCUUGUGAGUCUGCACAGGUAGCCGGAGGUGAGACUUCCGCGGUCGCGGCCCACCCAGUCCGCGAGAACCGGGCAGAUCGCCUCGACGGUACGGAGGCCGGCUGACGGGUCCGCCAAACGACGAGACCACGCCUCCAGCACGGACUGCCGAUAUUGGAGCCCCCGCGCUCCGGCUGCACUUGCGCUAGGGCGCGCCGCCUCGUAGGAGACUGUGAGGUGCUGUGGCAGGUCCAACCAGAGACGUCAACGUGUGUUCCAGAGCUUCAGUGUGUUACAGAUAAGUGGUUUUGGCUUCCCCUUUAUGUUCCAUUCAGGGUCAGAAUGUAGUCUUAUAAAACAAAGUCAUAGUAAUUUAUUCAAUGGUAAGCGGUUUCAUGAACAAGUCACUCUUUGAUCUGAAAGUAACUUAGACCAAUCAUGAUGGCAAGAGCACUUAGGGGAUAUUCAACUCGCCCUUAAUAGUGCACGUUGUCGAGUAACAGGGUUUACUCCAAUAGAAUAGACGUUUGCCGUUCAGGGUAGUUCACUUGAAAUAUCUAAAGUUUCAACAGAGUGAUAAUCCCUCUAGAUUAGAUCUUGAUUUAGCACGGUCGAAGACCGGAGAAAACAUAAAAAAAGGGCACAAACAGAAGCUUGGUUUAGUCGAGGCAAAGCUAAAGUCAAACUCUUUUCCGCUGGGGAUUUUGUUUUCGUAAGUUGACCGAAAAUGUAAAGGUCCCUUCAACAUUACUGCAGUUUUGGAAAACGAUAGGUAUAAAUUGAGACAUGUAAAUAGUUCUAAUAGAGUGUACAAAUUUCCCCAUGAAAACUUACGUGAAAAUACCUCGAGGCCCGUCAGGCCUACUAGAAAUUUCUGAAAAUUAUAGUGACGAUGACGUGACGGCGUACACAGAUGGGUUAAUUAAUCUUGUUCAUGAAACUGAUCUUAAUGAUGACGACUCUAUCACUGACAAUAGAAGCGACAUUUUUGUCCGCAAAUAGCGAUACAGCAAACAUAGUCUGUGGGUAGUGAUACAAUGUCUGUAAGCUCAGGCACCUCAGGUGCAGGUGUUGGAAAUGUAGAAAACGAUGGUCGGUCUCGCACUAUUUCUGAAGAAAUUCCGUAUAAAUGUUCUGGUUUAAGAAAUGUUUUAACAAACGCUACCGUACACGCAGAUUAAAAAAAAAAAAAGAAAAAAAAAAAGAGAAUUGUAUGUGGCUAGAGAGAUGUUAAUCCGGACUAGCAAAAAAAAAAAGAGAAAAAAAAAAAAAAAGUGUGAAGUCAUUGAAGGGUCUGUCCGGUCCAAUGGCUUGGCUAUAGGGAUUUUCAUCCAGAUUAGCCACAACAAUUAGCUACAGGGAUUGCGAUUCGGUCUAGCAUUAUCCGGUCCAGUUCGAAAAACUGAAGGGAUAACAAUUCAGGGACAUACUUACAUACCUGAAGAGUUUUAAAUGAACUGGCCCAGGUAUGUAAGCAGUCUGAAGGUUAUUUAUAGCCAGUAUAGGAUUUUCUGAAGAAUUAUGCGAACCGAACCGUACUAGAUUGUUAAUAUCAUAGACCACGUUUUAAGUUGCAUCCGUUAAUGUCAGGAUGAACGAACACGUUUGUUGUUCACAGACAUACCAUAAGAAUGCGCGCACGAGGACGAGCGCACGUCAGUAUGGCCGUGACGGCGUUAACGAUAUUUAUGUUAUAUAGCACGUGCAAUAGGAGUGACUCACACAAGCCAGGCGCGCCGGCCGUGUCGUUCCACUCGUAAACAACAGCUGCGACAGAAGUGACUCAUAAGCCAGCUGCGCCGGCUAGUAUAAAAAGGCGGAACGUGCCUUGAAAUGAACAUUCGUUGUACUGCGCUUGCCUGGUGCACUUACUAUAUCCUUGUUACGUUGUGUGAUUCAGUGACUGUUGUACGUACUGGUUAAAGUUGGACAAGUGUUAAAGUGAAUUGUUAAGAUAACAUAUUGUUGAUUAAAUCAGGAAUCAA